UUUCACAGAGCGGACGGGAUCCUUAUGGACUGACCGUUUUGUGGCCGGAGUUUAACUCUGACUUGACCUCAGAUCAGGUAGGGAUACCGCCUGAACUUAAGCAUAUCAAUAAGGCGAGGAACAGAAACCAACCGGGAUUCCCCCAGUAGUGGCGAAUGAAGCGGGAAAAGCUCAAGUUUGAAAUCCGGCGGGCAACCUCCGGAGUUGUAAGCUGAUGAGGUAUCGACCGACAUGGUCCGGGCCCAAUUUCCUUGGAACAGGAGGUCAUGGAGGGUGAGAACCCCGUCCGUGGCUCGGGUGCCAUUGUCCCUGUGUCGUGCCCUCUAAGAGUCGGGUUGUUUGGGAAUGCAGCUCAAAAUGGGUGGUAAAUUUCAUCUAAAGCUAAAUAUUGGCGAGAGACCGAUAGCAAACAAGCAGAGUGAUCGAAAGAUGAAAAGUACUUUGAAAAGAGAGUGAAACAGUACGUGAAAUUGUUGAAAGGGAAGCGUUUGGCAUCAGCCCUUGGCGUCCGUCGAACAUCCAGGCUUCUGUCUGGUGUACUCGUCGGCCGUCGGGCCAGCGUCGGCUCUGCCCGUCGGAGAAAGGCCUGAGGGAUGUGGCUCACCUUCGGGGGAGCGUUAUAACCUCGGGUGUCAUGCGAUGUGGUGGGG
rnacentral:rRNA from 1 species